rnacentral:rRNA from 1 species
GAGUUUGAUCAUGGCUCAGAUUGAACGCUGGCGGCAUGCCUUACACAUGCAAGUCGAACGGCAGCAUGAUCUAGCUUGCUAGAUUGAUGGCGAGUGGCGAACGGGUGAGUAAUACAUCGGAACGUGCCCUGUAGUGGGGGAUAACUAGUCGAAAGAUUAGCUAAUACCGCAUACGACCUGAGGGUGAAAGUGGGGGACCGCAAGGCCUCAUGCUAUAGGAGCGGCCGAUGUCUGAUUAGCUAGUUGGUGGGGUAAAGGCCCACCAAGGCGACGAUCGGUAGCUGGUCUGAGAGGACGAUCAGCCACACUGGGACUGAGACACGGCCCAGACUCCUACGGGAGGCAGCAGUGGGGAAUUUUGGACAAUGGGCGAAAGCCUGAUCCAGCAAUG